AGAGGAUUUACCCACCAGCACCCUGGCAAAGAAGGCUGCUCUGCAUCUGUUGUACUACCUGUUCCUGUUGCCUUCCUUGCCUCUUGGAAUCGUGACAAGAGAGAAAAGUCGCCUCUGGUGGGUUGCUCAAAGCUGUGGGUCUGCAGCCCUGUGCAGGAAGUUGGCACCGAUCCCAGGGCUUAUGAUUGGCCAACUCAAAGGUAUCCUCAAGGCUUAGUCAACUUGGUGAAAGAACAGCAAAACAGGGAAGCAUUGGAAUGCUUUCUACAACAACCUACUUCAAUCAAGGAGGAAGUAAGCAUAUUCGUUGACCAUUAGAGCAGCUGCUGUUCCAGAGCAUUAUUGGCCUCCCUAGCAGCUCCCAGAUUGUGCUGUCUAUAAUAAAAUGGAUUCUUGUAACAAA